rnacentral:rRNA from 1 species
UACGUAGGGACCGAGCGUUGUCCGGAAUCAUUGGGCGUAAAGAGCGUGUAGGCGGCUUGCUAAGUCUUGCGUGAAAUCCCGGGGCUCAACCCCGAGCGGUCGUGGGAAACUGGCAGGCUAGAGUGCGGGAGAGGAGAAUGGAAUUCCUGGUGUAGCGGUGAAAUGCGCAGAUAUCGGGAGGAACACCUGUGGCGAAGGCGGCCCCCUGGUUGGAUACUGACGCUGAUACGCGAAAGCGUGGGGAGCAAACAGG